GCCUCACCUUUUCUUCCCCACUCACCCACACCAGUACGUCACUCCUCUUCUCUCCUCCCCCGCCAGCCUCUAAUCCGGCGAAGCCCGUGUAUCCCGGCGACUCCCGGCAAGGGCUGCGCUAGAUGCGCGGUUGGAGGGCCCAGAUGGAGGUAGAUGGCUGGAUCCAACCCAAGCACGCCAAGGCACGGAGACCACCCGCGCGGCCGUCUCCAUGAGCGGCGGCUUGCCGCAGGCCAGGCGGCGGCGUGGCUACAACCAGGUCGAGGCGUUCGCGCGGCCCUGGAAGAGGAGAAUGAGUCCCUCCACGCGCGUCCGCGGGGCGUGUUAGCGGCGGGGCGACGGAGAUGACGAGGCGGAGCUCGAGGAGGUGCGGCGGAGCCGAAGCCAACGAGACGCUGCUCAAGGAGGCGGGGCGCAGUCGGAGAGGAGCAUCUGCGGAUCAACGGGGGCUCCGGCGCCGCGGGAUGGUCGUGGCGGGCGGUUGGAAGGCGCGGGUGAGGAGGAAAGCGAUGGACGAGGCGGGGCGGGGACGCCACGCGGAGCUCGGGCGCUCCAACGCCGCGUGAUGGUCGCGGUGGACGCCGACGGGGGCGACGGCCUGGUCGGCGGGCGGCUUUGGAAGGUGCGGCUGAGGAGGGCAAGGCGGCAUUCAGCAUUGUCGGUGAGGGGUCGGGGCUGGGACGCCUCGCGGAGCUCCUCCAUGAGCGGGAGCACGAGCUGUAGGCAGCGGAGAUGUGCGUUGUGACCGCUGGAACGCGUGGAACAUGCGCGCGAUGCCAUGGUGGCGAGCAGCUUGUCCAGGAGUUUCUGUCGGAGAGCUCCCGUCCAGCCACUGGUGAGCAGGAUCCCCAUGGCGAGCCCGGCCAAUGCGCACGCGUGGAUGCACCGGUGAAGUCGGGAUCCACCAGAUGCGCAUGGAGUUCCUUGUCCCCGGCUGAUUCAGAUGGGAAAAGGGUCUCGUGUGAUGGAGGCGUGCGGGCUGUGUGUCCCCCCUGGCGAACGAAUUCAUGCGAGGGGUCGAUCCCAUCGUGCUAAACAUGUGUGUGGUAGGGUGCUCUUCGUGCCACACGUAUGGGCAGUUUUAAUAUUCGCCCACACAAAGUCGUGUGGGCUGCCUGCUAGAUAUGCCACACAGGGGCGUGUGGGCGGAUGUCCAUUGUGCCACACGUGUGGCAGUUAUUGGCGUCCUUUUUUUCCUGAUGUAAAAGUAUUAUUAUCUACGUACAAUGAAAAUAUAACGCACAUGACUUCA